UACGGGGGGGGCAAGCGUUGUUCGGAAUUACUGGGCGUAAAGGGCUCGUAGGCGGCCAACUAAGUCAGACGUGAAAUCCCUCGGCUUAACCGGGGAACUGCGUCUGAUACUGGAUGGCUUGAGUUUGGGAGAGGGAUGCGGAAUUCCAGGUGUAGCGGUGAAAUGCGUAGAUAUCUGGAGGAACACCGGUGGCGAAAGGCGGCGACCUGGGCCAAUGAUUGACGCUGGAGGUGCGAAAGCGUGGGGAGCAAACAGG
rnacentral:rRNA from 1 species